rnacentral:rRNA from 1 species
AGUGAACGCUGGCGGUAGGCCUAACACAUGCAAGUCGAACGGCAGCACAGUAAGAGCUUGCUCUUACGGUUGGCGAGUGGCGGACGGGUGAGGAAUACAUCGGAAUCUACUUUUUCUUGGGGGAUAACGUAGGGAAACUUACGCUAAUACCGCAUACGACCUACGGGUGAAAUCAGGGGUUCUUCUCACCUUUCGCGUUUGUAUGAGCCGAUGUCGGAUUAGCUAGUUGGCUGGGUAAAGGCCCACCAAGGCGACGAUCCGUAGCUGGUCUGAGAGGAUGAUCAGCCACACUGGAACUGAGACACGGUACAGACUACUACGGGAGGCAGCAGUGGGGAAUAUUGGACAAUGGGCGAAAGCCUGAUGCAGCAAUACCGCGUGGGUGAAGAAGGCCUUCGGGUUGUAAAGCCCUUUUGUUGGGAAAGAAAAGCAGCAGGUUAAAACCCCGAUGUUCUGACGGUAACCAAAGAAUAAGCACCGGCUAACUACGUG